CCAGCUUCUCCCCAAGUGUUUCCCCAUGAGUUUCGCACGAUCCAAUAGUCACGACCAUUCUCGGUUCCAUACCCAACCACAACAACUCCAUGGUUUAGGUUUGUUCCGCACGUUCCAUCAAAAAUUCCCUUCGAAGUUUUAAAAAUGAUAUACAAACAAUUAUAAGAAUAAAGCUUUUAAAACCAAUUUUAAACGAUAUAUUAUAGAAUUUAUUUUAUUUACUGAUUCAUAAAGCUGAAAUUCCCUGCUGCUUGAAUCGAUAACGGCUGUUACAGGCUGGUGAGCAACCGCUUUCAUUAGAGAAAGCUCGUCGUUGGAAGGCAAACUCUCAUACCCAUCAAUCAUAACAUUCUUGUUGUUUUCCUACAACACGAUAUAAAAUUGUUAUUUUUUUUGUUGUUAGAGACAUUUUUCUAUAUGUGUGCGUGUAUCUAUACCGACCUUGAGGGGGUAUGCAGCUCGCAUCGCGAUACCACAUAAUCCUCUUGGAUUUGCAAUGUUGCGAGCCAUCUUCAUGUAGCCAGCUUCUCCCCAAGUGUUUCCCCAUGAGUUUCGCACGAUCCAAUAGUCACGACCAUUCUCGGUUCCAUACCCAACCACAACAACUCCAUGGUUUAGGUUUGUUCCGCACGUUCCAUCAAAAAUUCCCUUCGAAGUUUUAAAAAUGAUAUACAAACAAUUAUAAGAAUAAAGCUUUUAAAACCAAUUUUAAACGAUAUAUUAUAGAAUUUAUUUUAUUUAC
rnacentral:lncRNA from 1 species